rnacentral:rRNA from 1 species
UACAUGGGGUGCAAACGUUGCUCGGAAUCAUUGGGCGUAAAGCGCGCGUAGGCGGUUACUUAAGUUGGAUGUGAAAGCCCUCGGCUUAACCGAGGAAGUGCAUCCAAAACUGAGUAGCUAGAGUACGAAAGAGGGUCGCGGAAUUCCCGGUGUAGAGGUGAAAUUCGUAGAUAUCGGGAGGAACACCGGUGGCGAAGGCGGCGACCUGGGUCGAGACUGACGCUGAGGCGCGAAAAGCGUGGGGAGCAAACAGG